UCUCAGAUGGAAAACUUCAUUUCGUAUGAAGAAAUUGGAACCGGGAGCAGGUCAGUGGUUUACAGGGGCAGGAGGAAAGGUAGCCUCAAAUUUGUGGCAGUUAUCCGUAGUAAGAAAUCCAAGAGGCCUGAGUUGGAAAACCAUGAGGAUCAUUAGAGACAGUUAUUUCCCAAGAUGAAUGCUUGCCUGAGGAUGCUGUGCGAAAGUUUGCUAUGGAUUUAAUAAAAGGUCUCAAGUACAUCCACGACUUUGGCAUAGUGCUCUCUGAUAUCAGCCCUGCUAAGAUUUUAUUGGAUAGUUUCGGUACUCUGAAGUACUCUAAUUUCUGUCUGGCCAAAGUACAAGGAGAGAACCUAGGAGAGUUUUUUGCUCACGUGAUGUCAAGAGAGGAAGGAGACAACAGAGAGAGUGCUACACCUCAAAAUAUUCAGAACCGAACCCAAGGCUCUCUACUGUACUGUGCUCCAGAGGUGCUGAGUGGAGAGAGCACAAGCAUCGCCAGUGAUCUGUGGGGAUUGGGCUGCAUCCUCUGCGAGAUGUU